AUUGCUUGUUUUAUGGCACAUUAACGGGGGCUUUUGCUGAAAAAAUGCGCGGUCAGAAAAUUAUUUUAAAUUUCCUCUUGUCAGGCCGGAAUAACUCCCUAUAAUGCGCCACCACUGACACGGAACAACGGCAAACACGCCGCCGGGUCAGCGGGGUUCUCCUGAGAACUCCGGCAGAGAAAGCAAAAAUAAAUGCUUGACUCUGUAGCGGGAAAGCGUAUUAUGCACACCCCGCGCCGCUGAGAAAAAGCAAAGCGGCACUGCUCUUUAACAAUUUAUCAGACAAUCUGUGUGGGCACUCGAAGAUACGGAUUCUUAACG
rnacentral:rRNA from 2 species